UCUGAAGCAUCAAUGUAAGAGGGCAACUGCCACCAAAGGACAGAGAGGUGUGCCCCGCUAAGUUCAAUGGCUUCGUGGAUCGUUGGACUAAGACAGAGGGAGUCAUUGGCACAGACUCCACCUUUGGAUUUGACGGUGCACCAAUACCGACCUGGAAAUCGGGGAUUGAUCAAGUCCUGGAAGGAAGCCAUGUUACAUGAUUGGGAAGGACCAUGCCAGGUGUUAUUGACCACUGAGACUGCAAUCGGAUGGUGGAGAAAGGCUGGACUCAUACAAGAGUUAAAGGACCUACAGAGGAACCCUAGGAAUGGACGGUGGACAGCCAUCCUGAUCCACCAAGGAUGGAGUCUUGAUUAUUUUUGUCCUAUCACUUUUACUUUGCUGUGCUAAUUUUUUAUUGUUUGUUUCUAGUAUCUAACUUCCAUAGAACAGAACCACAGACAGAAGAGACUCCUCUAAUCAAAAAGUGUUAGUAAGAGCAUGGUAGGGAGUGAGGGCUUGGAACUGGCUUUAGUAUUAGUAGUCAGCAUUGUCUUAACUAUCUUAUGGGCUCUGGAAUAUAAUUGCCUUUUCCCCCAACAACAGUUGGAACCAUUUUCAUUGUAAAUUCAUAGGGAAUUAUUAAUGGGAUUUGACCCUAGAUUGGAAGGCAAUCCCAGGUGGACCUCGUGGAAGAGAUUCCUAGAACUUUUCUCUCUGCUUCCAGACAACUGGACAAUUGGCCCAGAACUCUGUAGCCAGGAGGUUUGGGAAGAACUUAGCUAUAAAUAACAAAGUAUUCUUUAAUUUGGACCCCCUUGAAAGACCUAGUGGGGAAUUAGUGAGUAUCCAAGCUGUCUAAGUAGUAGACAUAAGAAUAGGUAGAGAGUGUUACUGGAUGAUAAGGUAAAGACUAGGGUUUGAAGAAACCACCUUCCUCAUCUUGCCAGUGAAUAGUGUGGAUAUCAGGCUUACCUACUGUCCCAAGAUGAAAUUGGUUUGAGUUACCUGGAUUCUCCUAUUGAGUUGUACCAUGAAUGGGAUCUGUAUCUCAGUCCCACCCCUAACUCCACCUUCAAUAGGGAACCAAAAUCUCUUCUUACAUGUUGGGGAAGCUAUGGCUGGUGCAUUUAACCUGACUAAUUGUUGGGGGGGGGGGGGGGUGGCAAAUAGAGGAUAAGUGGCCAUGGGUGGCUUUCCCUCUGGCCCCGAAAUGGCUUCUGAGUGAUAAGACUGAAUUCAGGGUUAACGCUACUCCCAAAUGGCCUGAAGAAGAACAUACAUGGCCCCUCACCUUCAGCACUGUGGGCAAAUAUUGUCUUAAUUAAACUGGCCUCAGCCCCAAAGUAGGCCGAGGAGCAUUUGUAAUUGGACUUAUAGCUUGGAGUGGGAAUGUACAUACUGGAUGUAAGGAGAUUAAUUGUGCUCGGUAUAGGAGAAAAUGGAACUCAACUCACAUUCGAUUGCCAAAUGGAAGCUGGGUGUAUUGUGAUCUAUCCACUGAGGGCAGACUAGAAGAUUGCUGGGAAAAACAUAGCUGGCAAAACUGUAAUCUAGCCCCUGAAAGUAAGAUUGAGGACUGUUGGAAAUUUUGUAAUUUUAUCAGCCUAUGAAAGAGUAGACAAAUAUAUAUAUGAGCUUGUCAAUUGGUGUGCACGACUCAACAUCAGCCAAGAGAAGUUUCUAUCCCGGGUUCAGAGAUAGGGUUGGAAUCAUGCCAAAGGAACUAGACUAGAAGGAUUUAGGGAUUUCUGAAGCGAUAAGGAACAGCCCUGUCCCCCUUCUGGCUCUUGGCAAUGUGAACGUAAAUGGAGAAAAGAGGAGGGGGCAUGAAAAUGCUCCUGGAAAAAAGGAGGGUUGACAUCUCCAGGACCUACUGGCUGGGAUGUAAGUCAUUACUUCCCCCAUGUGUGGGACACUCAGAUUAUCUUCCCCAAGAAGCAAGCAGCAUUGAAGGGUCAUCACUGGAUAUGUGGUCUGAUGGCUUAUAUUCACUUACCUGUAGGUUGGUCAGGAAUUUGCUGUGUAGGAAUAACAACACCUAAAUUCUUCUUUUUAGGACAAGAGGCAAGAACAACAUUGGAGAUCCCUCUUUAUGAUAAUCUGAGAAGAAUGAAAAGGGCCAUAGACACUAAACAAACACAGGUGAUGCUAAUGGAUGGGGAAAUUUAUGCUGCCCCACCCCCAGAGGAUCAUUUAGCCUGAUUACCUGGGCUCAAGAUGGGAGUUGAGAAUAUAGGACCCCUAUCUAUAUCUUAAAUAGGCUGAUAAAACUACAAGUGGUAGUAGAGAUCCUAACUAAGCAAACAGCACAAGCCUUGGAGCUUCUAGCUGACCAAGCCACACAAACACAGGAAGCAGUGCUCCAACACAGAAUGGUAUUGGAUUACUUGGUAGCAGAAGAGGGAGGUGUCUGUGGGAAACUAAAUGUAUCAAAUUGAUGACAAUGGUCAAGUUGUCAAAGAGUAUAGCCCAAAAUAUUAGGAAAGUAGCUCAUGAGCUACUUUUACCAGUAUAACAAUGGGAUAGUAUAUUAAGCUCAAAUUGGUUUAGUUGGCUAAGUGGAUCACGUCUACAUGGAAGCAACUCAGAUUCUUUCUAAUAUGUGCAGUUGCUGGUCUCACCCUCCUACCCUGUUUGAUUCCCUGUUUCAUCAAUUUAAUUACCAGGAUGGUGGAAAAGAUGCAAAUAGUUAACUCAGGAGGGAGAGGAGCCCAAAUGUUGGUCUUAAGAAGGAAGCCAACCACCCAGGAGGAUGUAGAGGAGAAAGAAUGUCUGGAGCUACUAAGGGACUUUGAAGAUAGACUUUGAGGGAGGUAGGAAUUUCGUGGAAACGUAAUCCCUAGAAAUAAGAAAGAGGGGGAAUUGUGAAGUACAGGAAAUUAUGUUUCCACAGAGGUAGAGGAAGUGAUCUUAACGACAGAAUUCAGAAGUGUCUACCGGUGUAAAAAGAACGGUUUUAUUCAGAAUAUUUUUUAGCAAUAAUACCUAGAAUCAGAAGGAACCAGCCGAAACUAGUAGUGUGGUUGAAGAUGUAGAAAGUAGGACAAAGUCACAAUCUGCUCGAAACUGUGCAUGCUUAAUUGGGAUAUUAAUAUUAACUUCUCCUCCCUUAAGGAGGAGCCAUCUGCCAUUUUGUACAUGCAAUGUAUGUAGUGGGGGUAGACAUAUUAAGGGUCAAUAUGAAGUAGGCAUUCUGGGAAGUCGUAUGCCUCAAAGUAUCCAACCAAUGAAGAAAUGAGAACAUUGCAUUUCUGGACAACAAUAUAACUGCUCACUUUUGCUUCUGUGUGUGUGUCUGCCUCUAGCAGCACACCUGCUUCUUUCAAGAACAUAUAAUAAAUAAACUUUCCUCAUCUA